rnacentral:lncRNA from 1 species
CCCAUCCCCCAGCCCAGUCUGGGCAGAGGUCACCCUGGUCCUGGGUCCUUUCCUGCUCUUCCCACCUCCUGCAGGACCCAGAGCAGGUGGAGCACACAGUCGGAGCUCAGUACAUGCUGCUGACCGUGAAGAACUACUACUGCCCGGGGCCAGCUCCAGCCCCUCUGGGCUUCGGCGCCACAUCCCCCAGGGGGCAGGCUGCGUGCUCCCCCUGAGUGGGCUGCGGGAGGUACCCCACCAGCAGCCGGGAUCGGGUGGUCCUCCCGGAGGGGCUGGGAGGGGACUGCAGGGCCCCUUGGGUGAGGUAGGCGGUGGUCUCCUGACCAGCACCCGUGGGUCUGGGCACAGCGCACAGCAGAGAGGCUGCAAGUCAUUGUCCCCGUCUGAACCACGGAGGAGGACAGUCCUCAGCCGGUGGGGGCCGCGCGUUAGCCUUAUUGAGGU